rnacentral:misc_RNA from 1 species
AACGCACAUUGCGCCCGCCGGUAUUCCGGCGGGCAUGCCUGUCCGAGCGUCAUUUCGACCCUCAUGCCCCCCCCGGGGCGUGGUGUUGGGCGUCCCCGCGGCCUACGCGUCGCGGGCUCCCGAAAUGCAUCGGCGGUCCCGCCUGGCGGCUCCCUGCGUAGUAGUUUUCUCCUCGCAUAGGGCCCUCGGCGGACGACCGGCCGCUAAAACCGCUCCCGGCCCAGCGCCGGGCAGCACGCUACGUUGACCUCGGAUCAGGUAGGGAUACCCGCUGAACUUAA